rnacentral:rRNA from 1 species
UACGUAGGGUGCAAGCGUUGUCCGGAUUUACUGGGCGUAAAGAGCGCGCAGGCGGUCGUUCAAGUCGCGUGUGAAAGCCCCCGGCUCAACUGGGGAGGGUCACGCGAUACUGAUCGACUCGAAGGCAGGAGAGGGAAGUGGAAUUCCCGGUGUAGUGGUGAAAUGCGUAGAUAUCGGGAGGAACACCAGUGGCGAAGGCGACUUCCUGGCCUGUUCUUGACGCUGAGGCGCGAAAGCUAGGGGAGCAAACGGG